GACGUAGGGCGCGAGCGUUGUCCGGAUUUAUUGGGCGUAAAGGGCGCGUAGGCGGUGCGGUAAGUCACCUGUGAAAUCUCCUGGCUCAACUGGGAGCUUGCAGGCGAAACUGCCGUGCUGGAGUGUGGGAGAGGUGCGUGGAAUUCCUGGUGUAGCGGUGAAAUGCGUAGAUAUCAGGAGGAACACCUGUGGCGAAAGCGGCGCACUGGACCACAACUGACGCUGAGGCGCGAAAGCUAGGGGAGCAAACAGG
rnacentral:rRNA from 1 species